GAGCUGUGAUGAGUCGUGUGCUUUGUGGUUGAUGGUGGGGUCCGUCACCUUCCGUCUGAUUUACCGGACGAUAAAUCGAGCGCAUCUGAGCUC
rnacentral:snoRNA from 1 species